GGCCUUUAGGGGAAAGGGUUCUAAUUCCAUAAAUGCAGUUUGUCGGAAGGGAGCCAGUCAACAGGGUCCGUAGGCAACCAGAAGACUUGAUUAGGAAAUCAUAUACUUGGCAUGGAAGUUGGUGUAAGUUAGUCCCUGACAUACACGGUCUCAUGCACAGUCUAUUCUGUCAAGAGUCUUGAGUGGUCUUGAUUCUCCCUACAGCCCAUCCCCACUUCUUGGCCUCGUUCCUGUGUUUGCACUAUGAUUUGCUCCUACUGGCUCUGGACUACUACAGAUGUAUACUUUUGUGCAGUUAACCGGAGUUCCUACACUGAGUACCAAACCUUGGAAUUUCUUGAACCAAUUCAUUCAGGAGAUUAUUAGUGUAAUUUAAUGAAUCUGCAAUCCCAUGUGUGGGCAGACCAGCAAGUUACCAGAAGAGGGUGUAGCAGGAGUAAAGUGAAGCACAAACAUCCAUCUUGCCAAUAUUGCCUGAUGUGUACUUGUUCGUUAGUGUAAGAUGGGUACCUACACUGAGAGCUUUUUCUUCCCUUACUCUGUGCCUGACUCAGAGCUACUGUUAAAGAGAGAAGCCAUAUUUCCAUAUAUUUCCACUGCCUUUCACACCUUUCAG